ACUAGUCGGGACUAGUCGGUCAAACCUAACUGUGAACCGGCCGUUUUUUAAAAUUUUACCAAAAUGCCGCCGUUUGGAUUUUCCAUUUAACCCAGCAACCCUAACUCAAGUAACCCACUAACCCUUGCUCCAAGACACAACGGCGCAACACUCUCUCUCCCUCCCUCACCCUCGAGCUAGUCCUUCCUCUCACCGUCGGUGAGCUGUCUCUGUCACUUCCGUCCGGCUGCUAGAUUGCUCCUACCGCCAUCGCAAAUUGGAGCCUCGAAGAUUUCAGUUGCGAUCAUGCAGCGUCGCCAGACUCACCUCCUGUCUCCGUUGCGCACCUCUGUUCUACCGUCGCCAGCAUCAGCUCGGUUGCAUCGUCGCCGGGAUCGCCUCCUACCUCCGUCGCGAACUCUAUUCCACCAUCGCCGACGCCAUCUCUAUUCCACUGGCCAGCGCUACUCCCCCUGAAUCUGCUAUGCUCUAUUCUGUUCUGUUCUAUACUUCUAGCUUCUACGUAUUUUUUAUUUUUUUUUUAUAACAAUAAUUGUUGAAUAAGUAUUGUUAGAUAAUCUGUGAGGGUUGAAUAAUUAUUAUUAAUCUAUGAAUAAUUGCUAUUGUUACUGCCUGAUUACUUAA